AUGCAAGUCGAACGGAAAUCUUUUAGAGAAAUCUUUUAGAUUUUAGUGGCGAACGGGUGAGUAACACGUAAGCAACCUGCCUUUAAGACGAGAAUAACAAUUGGAAACAGUUGCUAAGGCUGGAUAGGAAAUAAAAAGGCAUCUUUUUAUUUUUAAAAGACCUUCUUCGGAGGGUAUGCUUAAAGAGGGGCUUGCGUCACAUUAGUUAGUUGGUAGGGUAAUGGCCUACCAAGACGAUGAUGUGUAGCUGGACUGAGAGGUUGAACAGCCACAUUGGGACUGAGACACGGCCCAAACUCCUACGGGAGGCAGCAGUAGGGAAUUUUCGGCAAUGGAGGAAACUCUGACCGAGCAACGCCGCGUGAACGACGAAGUACUUCGGUAUGUAAAGUUCUUUUAUUGAAGAAGAAACAAUAGUGGAAAAACUAUCUUGACGUUAUUCAAUGAAUAAGCCCCGGCUAACUAUGUGCCAGCAGCCGCGGUAAUACAUAGGGGGCGAGCGUUAUCCGGAAUUAUUGGGCGUAAAGGGUGCGUAGGCGGUUUAAUAAGUCUCUAGUUUAAUUUCAACGCUUAACGUUGUCCUGCUAGAGAAACUGUUUGACUAGAGGAGAUAGAGGUAAGCGGAAUUCCAUGUGUAGCGGUAAAAUGUGUAAAUAUAUGGAGGAACACCAGAGGCGUAGGCGGCUUACUGGGUCUUUACUGACGCUGAUGCACGAAAGCGUGGGGAGCAAACAGGAUUAGAUACCCUGGUAGUCCACGCCGUAAACUAUGAGUACUAAGUGUCGGGGUUAAACUCGGUACUGAAGUUAACACAUUAAGUACUCCGCCUGAGUAGUACGUACGCAAGUAUGAAACUUAAAGGAAUUGACGGGAUCCCGCACAAGCGGUGGAUCAUGUUGUUUAAUUCGAAGAUACACGAAAAACCUUACCAGGUCUUGACAUACUCUGCAAAACUAUAGAAAUAUAGUGGAGGUUAUCAGGGAUACAGGUGGUGCAUGGUUGUCGUCAGCUCGUGUCGUGAGAUGUUAGGUUAAGUUCUAAAACGAGCGCAACCCCUGUCGUUAAUUGCCAGCACGUUAUGGUGGGGACUUUAGCGAGACUGCCAAUGAAAAAUUGGAGGAAGGUGGGGAUUACGUCAAAUCAUCAUGCCCCUUAUGAUCUGGGCUACAAACGUGAUACAAUGGCUAUUACAAAGAGUAGCUUAAACGCGAGUUUUUGGCAAAUCUCAAAAAAAUAGUCUUAGUUCGGAUUGAAGUCUGCAACUCGACUUCAUGAAGUUGGAAUCGCUAGUAAUCGCGAAUCAGCAUGUCGCGGKGAAUACGUUCUCGGGGUUUGUACACACCGCCCGUCAAACCACGAAAGUGGACAAUACCCGAAAGCGAUAGCCUAACUGCGCAAGCAGAGGGAAUCGUCUAAGGUAGGGUCGAUGAUUGGGGUUAAG
rnacentral:rRNA from 1 species